AUUGAACGCUGGCGGCCGGCCUAACACAUGCAAGUCGGACGAGUGGCGGACGGGUUAGUACUUUCUGGGAAACUUCCUGAUGGAGGGGGAUAACUACUGGAAACGGUAGCUAAUACCCCAUACAAUCUGCUGUGUCCAGAGGGGAUUAGCUAGUAUGCUGGGUAACGGAUCACCUAGGCGCCGCUCCCUAGCUGGGCUGAGAGGCUGACCAGACACACUGGAACUGAGAAACGGGCAAGACUCCUACGGGAGGCAGCAGUGGGGAAUAGUGCACAAUGGGCGCAAGCCUGAUGCAGCAAAGCCGCGGGUAUGAAGAAGGCCGUCGGGUAGUAAGGUACUUUCAGCGGGGAGGCGUUACCCGCAGAAGAAGCACCGGCUAACUCCGUGCCAGCAGCCGCGGUAAUAA
rnacentral:rRNA from 1 species